CAACAGGCUAACCCGACGGGGGACAAGCGGAAAUGCCUUGCCGCCUGCCUGUUGAUUUACAUACAUUUCAAGGC
rnacentral:ncRNA from 1 species